AAGCUUCCGCCAUCGACGAAAGUCCGACGGCGCUACGCCGCGUGAGCGAUGAAGGUCUUAGGAUCGGAAAACUCUGUUGCUAGCGAAGAACAAGUAACGGUCGAAUCGGCCGGUAGCUUGACGGUACCUAACCAGAAAGCCACCGCUAACUACGUGCCAGCAGCCGCGGGAAUACGGAGGUGGCAAGCGUUAUCCGGAAUUAUUGGGCGUAAAGCGCGCGCAGGCGGUUUCUUAAGUCUGAUGUGAAAGCCCACGGCUCAACCGUGGAGGGUCAUUGGAAACUGGGAAGCUUGAGUGCAGAAGAGUAGAGUGGAAUUCCAUGUGUAGCGGUAAAAUGCGUAGAGAUAUGGGGGAACACCAGUGGCGAAGGCGACUCUCUGGUCUGCAACUGACGCUGAGGCGCGAAAGCGUGGGGAGCGAACA
rnacentral:rRNA from 1 species